rnacentral:tRNA from 1 species
AUUAAUUUAGUAUAGGUGAGAUAGUAUGGGUCACUGUUAAUGAUCGGGAACCUUCCGGGGUAGUUAAUG